UACUGUGGCCCUGCUGGACUGAACAUACUUAAUCUCCUCUGACUUUGGCAGCAAAACAAUCCUGGGCCUGGGUAUGACUUGGAUAGGAAACAGCUUUGGAAUCUCAGGUGCCAUAGAAA
rnacentral:rRNA from 1 species